AGCGAACGCUGGCGGCAGGCCUAACACAUGCAAGUCGAACGAACUCUUCGGAGUUAGUGGCGGACGGGUGAGUAACACGUGGGAACGUGCCUUUAGGUUCGGAAUAACUCAGGGAAACUUGUGCUAAUACCGAAUGUGCCCUUCGGGGGAAAGAUUUAUCGCCUUUAGAGCGGCCCGCGUCUGAUUAGCUAGUUGGUGAGGUAAAGGCUCACCAAGGCUACGAUCAGUAGCUGGUCUGAGAGGAUGACCAGCCACAUUGGGACUGAGACGCGGCCCAAACUCCUACGGGAGGCAGCAGUGGGGAAUCUUGCGCAAUGGGCGAAAGCCUGACGCAGCCAUGCCGCGUGGAUGAUGAAGGUCUUAGGAUUGUAAAAUCCUUUCACCGGUGAAGAUAAUGACUGUAGCCGGAGAAGAAGCCCCGGCUAACUUCGUGCCAGCCGCCGCUGUAACAC
rnacentral:rRNA from 1 species